GGAAAGCUCAACCUCUAACUGGAGGACAAUGAAGUCUAACAGUAUUGUGUCUGGAAUUUAUUCUUUCCGGUUGGUUCUUGGUCUUCCCAACUUCAAGAACGAAGCCAUGGACCUUCGCGGUGAGUGUUACAGCUCUUAAAGAUGGUGCGUCUGCAGUUUGUUACUUCAGAUGUUCAAAUGUGUCCGGAGUUUCUUCCUUCCGGUGGGUGCGUGGUCUUGCUGACUUCAGGAGAGAACCUGCAGACCUUCACAGUGAGUGUUACAGCUCUUAAAGGUGGCCUGUCAGGAGUUGUUUGUUCUGCCAGGUGCGUUUGUGAUCUUGCUGACUUCAGGAAUGAAGCAGCAGAUCCUCGCGGUGGGUGUUAUGGCUCAUAAAGGCAGUGCAAACCCAGAGUGGGCAGCAGCAAGAUUUACUGUGAACAGUGAAAGAACAAACCUAC
rnacentral:lncRNA from 1 species